AAAUGGGAGGUAAAUUUCUUCUAAAGCUAAAUACUGGUCAGAGACCGAUAGCUCACAAGUAGAGUGAUCGAAAGAUGAAAAGCACUUUGGAACGAGAGUUAACAAGUACGUGAAAUUGUUGAAAGGGAAGCGCUUGCAACCAGACUUGUCCGCAGUUGCUCAGCCGGUCUCCUGACCGGCGUACUCUUCUGCGGCCAGGCCAGCAUCAGUUCGGGCGGUCGGAUAAAGGCCUCGGGAAUGUAGCUCCUCUCGGGGAGUGUUAUAGCCCGGGGUGGAAUGCGACCAGCCUGGACUGAGGAUCUCACUUCGGCAAGGAUGCUAGCGU
rnacentral:rRNA from 1 species